rnacentral:rRNA from 1 species
AUUGAACGCUGGCGGCAGGCUUAACACAUGCAAGUCGAGCGGAGUGAUGGUGCUUGCACUAUCACUUAGCGGCGGACGGGUGAGUAAUGCUUAGGAAUCUGCCUAUUAGUGGGGGACAAUAUCUCGAAAGGGAUGCUAAUACCGCAUACGUCCUACGGGAGAAAGCAGGGGAUCACUUGUGACCUUGCGCUAAUAGAUGAGCCUAAGUCGGAUUAGCUAGUUGGUGGGGUAAAGGCCUACCAAGGCGACGAUCUGUAGCGGGUCUGAGAGGAUGAUCCGCCACACUGGGACUGAGACACGGCCUAGACUCCUACGGGAGGCAGCAGUGGGGAAUAUUGGACAAUGGGGGGAACCCUGAUCCAGCCAUGCCGCGUGUGUGAAGAAGGCCUUAUGGUCGUAAAGCACUUUAAGCGAGGAGGAGGCUCUUUUGGUUAAUACCCAAGAUGAGUGGACGUUACUCGCAGAAUAAGCACCGGCUAACUCUGUGCCAGCAGCCGCCGUAA